rnacentral:rRNA from 1 species
UACGGAGGGUGCAAGCGUUGUUCGGAAUCACUGGGCGUAAAGCGCGUGUAGGCGGCCUUUUAAGUCCGAUGUGAAAGCCCGGGGCUCACCCCCGGAAGUGCAUUGGAUACUGAAGGGCUGGAGUACCGGAGAGGAGGGUGGAAUUCCUGGUGUAGCGGUGAAAUGCGUAGAUAUCAGGAGGAACACCUGUGGCGAAGGCGGCCCUCUGGACGGAUACUGACGCUGAGACGCGAAAGCGUGGGGAGCAAACAGG